GACGAACGCUGGCGGCGUGCUUAACACAUGCAAGUCGAACGGAAAGGCCCUGCUUUUGUGGGGUGCUCGAGUGGCGAACGGGUGAGUAACACGUGAGUAACCUGCCCUUGACUUUGGGAUAACUUCAGGAAACUGGGGCUAAUACCGGAUAGGAGCUCCUGCUGCAUGGUGGGGGUUGGAAAGUUUCGGCGGUUGGGGAUGGACACGCGGCUUAUCAGCUUGUUGGUGGGGUAGUGGCUUACCAAGGCUUUGACGGGUAGCCGGCCUGAGAGGGUGACCGGCCACAUUGGGACUGCGAUACGGCCCAGACUCCUACGGGAGGCAGCAGUGGGGAAUAUUGCACAAUGGGCGGAAGCCUGAUGCAGCAACGCCGCGUGCGGGAUGACGGCCUUCGGGUUGUAAACCGCUUUCGCCUGUGACGAAGCGUGAGUGACGGUAAUGGGUAAAGAAGCACCGGCUAACUACGUG
rnacentral:rRNA from 1 species